AUGCCAUUCCUUUUGACCGUUGUUUCUUUCUUCGCAGAAAUCUGCAUCAUCAGGUCCAUCUUUGAAGCACGUUGCCAAGCAACGCAAAGUCUUAACAUGAAGAUGAGCCACCAAUCCAACAAAAGUUUUCUACAUAAACAUAACUUGCCGAAGACAUCCAGUGAGCGCCACAGCAGCACAGCCAAGUCUUCAUGCCAUACAGCCAGUGCUGCCCACACCAGCAGCAUGAGAACAGAUGUGCACUGCAAAUCUUCACAUAAAGUGAGGCGUCUUAAAACCAGGAACGAGAGGAAUCAGAUUCGAGGUCUGGAGAGAAACAGGUAUCACACAGUUUCUCAGCACAGCGGAAGAGAAGGUGGUGAGAAAGCACACCGUCCACUGGCUUGCUCUAGAAAAGAGAGGGCAUUCGCUAAGCCAUUCAUACCCCAGAAGCCAAGCAUCAUAACUGAAGGACGCCUUACUUCCAACCGAGGCCUUUUCAGUCAUGAGAUUAGGUCAAUAGAUAUUGAGAGGCUGGUGAGCGAGCAGAUAAAGAGAGACGAGCAGAGAAAAGAGCAAAGAAAUAAGUCUAUGAUGCACAUUACAUCACCGCUGCCUCCCUCUGUACCCGAGUCAGUCCCGGGCUGUACUCUGGAUGAAGUACAGGGACCAGGAAAAAAUACGCUGCCACAAGUGAAGAGGAAGAAAUGUUCAAGAAAAGAGCCUAGUGAAAUAAAUAAUAGAGGGGUUGUUGUAUCUAUGGGACCAUCUAGGGAAGAUAAGAAUGAGAGAAAUGCCGACAGCAGAAAGGAAGAUGCUAAUAGCAAAACAAGAAAAGAUAGUCAGAGUAGCCCCCCAAGAGAAACUGAACAUGUGGUUUUGUCAUCCUCAGAAAAUGAACCGGUUUAUCAGUUAUGCUCUACUCCGGUUGAACCUAAUAUUAAUAACUCUGAUGUUUCACAAACAGACAAUCUCAAAUCCCCUAAUGAAGAAAACCAAGAAAAUGGUUUUAUGAAUAUUCAGAGAUUUGAGAAAAACUCUACAACGGUGGGAUUCCCAAACAUGGAAGUUACGCAAAUGUUCGAAAACCCGCGGACAUUAACUUCUCUGUCUGACCUGGACUCUGGGGCUGGUCAAGUUGGAGACAGUGUUGAGCAAGGAGAGCAAAUGUCACUGUCAUGUAGGGAAGCAGUGAAAAGGCUCCUGACACGUUUGUGCCAGAGUUCAGAGCUCCGUGUGCCAAGCCUUCGGCGUCCCCUGCUGGCCGAGUGUAGAGAGGCGCUACUACAGGAUUUACAAAAAAGACACAGUUUCCAGUUAGAGCACAACCUCCACAGGCUACAUUCAUUCUUGAAUAGGAAUCAAAAGGCUUCUCAGCUCAGCUCAGGACAGAGAGAUGAAAAGUGUUCACCUUCUAGCCAUACAGUGGAGAAUGAGGACAGGUGCUUCAACAGGAACAUGGAGAUAUGGACAGACAGUGCCAUGCAACAAGAUUACUUAACACAGGAUGUUAAGCAGGACUUGGUCAGAGGAGCUUUCACCAAGAAACGUAGGAUACAAGAGUGGAAGACCUCGUCCAAUCUCUUCUCCCUUGAAGAACCACGACAGUCACACACUGACAUGUUUGACCAGUGGAGGGCAGCUAGGUUGUCUCAGGAUUGCAUAAGAGCUCAGCAUCAUAGCAGAAAGCUCUUUAACCAGGAACAGACCUUUACCCAGCAUGCCGUCCCUAUACUCAAAAGGCCCACCCGGGUUGAUUAUCCUGUGGACUCUUAUUCUCAGCAGCAGUCACUGAGCAGAGGGGAAGGUUUGAAAAACAUAGAUUUAGAUCUCUCAAGAAUCUCUCAACAGUGGAGGGAAGACAAAGAUCUUGAUUUGAAUUCGUAUCACAUAUAUGAGAGCAGAAAACAAAAACCACAAGCGUCUUUUGGAGGAUCGAGAUUCUGGUCGCAUCAGCAGCAAGUUCAGGAUGAAAGAGAAAGACGGGCUCCCUUUUCAUUCUCAGCAUCCUAUCUCUCAGAGGGCUUUCAAUACAAGCCUUUUUUUCGCUGUCCACAUCCAUCUAACACCCAGCACAGGUCAGACUGUCUUGGUAUGUCUCACUGUCCCGGGACAAACACACCAGAUAGGGUAUUUUACCCUCCCCUUUACCUUUAG
ensembl:lncRNA